AUCUGGCCUUCGGGUCCGAGUUGUAAUUUGUAGAGGAUGCUUUUGGCGAGGUGCCUUCCGAGUUCCCUGGAACGGGACGCCAUAGAGGGUGAGAGCCCCGUCUGGUCGGAUACCAAGCCUCUGUAAAGCUCCUUCGACGAGUCGAGUAGUUUGGGAAUGCUGCUCAAAAUGGGAGGUAUAUGUCUUCUAAAGCUAAAUAUUGGCCAGAGACCGAUAGCGCACAAGUAGAGUGAUCGAAAGAUGAAAAGCACUUUGAAAAGAGGGUUAAAAAGUACGUGAAAUUGUUGAAAGGGAAGCGCCUAUGACCAGACUUGGGCCCGGUGAAUCAUCCAGCGUUCUCGCUGGUGCACUUUGCCGGGCACAGGCCAGCAUCAGUUUGGCGCGGGGGAUAAAGGCUUUGGGAAUGUGGCUCCCUCGGGAGUGUUAUAACCCAUUGCGCAAUACCCUGCGCCGGACUGAGGUACGCGCAUCGCAAGGAUGCUGGCGUAAUGGUCAUCAGCGACCCGUCUUGAAACACGGACCAAGGAGUCGUCUUCGUAUGCGAGUGUUCGGGUGUCAAACCCCUACGCGUAAUGAAAGUGAACGCAGGUGAGAGCUUCGGCGCAUCAUCGACCGAUCCUGAUGUUCUCGGAUGGAUUUGAGUAAGAGCAUACGGGGCCGGACCCGAAAGAAGGUGAACUAUGCCUGUAUAGGGUGAAGCCAGAGGAAACUCUGGUGGAGGCUC
rnacentral:rRNA from 1 species